ensembl:rRNA 5S_rRNA 5S ribosomal RNA
GUGUACGGACAAACCAGCUGAAGAAUGCCCAAUCUUGCCUGAUCUCAGAAGCUAAGAAAGCUUGGGCCUGGUUAGUACUUGGAUGGGAGACUACAUGGGAAUACCAGGUGCUGUAAGCU